rnacentral:rRNA from 1 species
UACGAAGGGAGCUAGCGUUGUUCGGAAUCACUGGGCGUAAAGCGCACGUAGGCGGAUUUGCCAGUCAGGGGUGAAAUCCCGGGGCUCAACCUCGGAACUGCCUUUGAUACAGCAAGUCUUGAGUUCGAGAGAGGUGGGUGGAAUUCCUAGUGUAGAGGUGAAAUUCGUAGAUAUUAGGAAGAACACCGGUGGCGAAGGCGGCCCACUGGCUCGAUACUGACGCUGAGGUGCGAAAGCGUGGGGAGCAACAGGG